GGCUGGUCCGAGUGCAGUGGUGUUUACAACUAAUUGAUCACAACCAGUUACAGAUUUCUUUGUUCCUUCUCCACUCCCAUUAUUUCACUUGACUAAAAA
ensembl:Y_RNA Y_RNA Y RNA